UUCUUCCAGUUCCGGUCCCAGAAAUGAGUUGGUGAAGAAUUGGGGGGGGGGGCGUUAAGAGGGUUGGAAAAACCAAUUUAAAAUUCCAUAAGUAAAGUACAGAGAAAUGCAGUUUUCUCCUGUUCCCCCUUCUCUGUGUUGUAUAUAUAUUGACUAUUUAUUAGAUUAGGUCAUAUUUUUCUUACCAACUGAGCCAAAUGUCUGUGCAAUUAUGUCCCCUUGACCUUUCUUGUAAAAUUUUGUACAGUAUCAAUGAGUGAAAAUCACUGUUUUUUCUAAAUCUUUUUCAGAAUCAAGGAUUGUAAAUAUUGUAGAUUCUUU
rnacentral:lncRNA from 1 species